ACCAGCUCUACAAAUAGACCAAAAAUAAAAAUAUAAAACAUUAGACAAAACCAAUCAAGUGUUCAGUUAAAUUUAAUUUUGUAAAAAUACACCAGACACAGCAGGAAAAACUAAAGGAAGGAAACAUGUGCAUUAAAACCAUAAAGAAAUCAGAUAACAAAUCUCUCAGACCCAUUGGCAUUCCAAUGAAAACCCAAACGAAAGAAAUUGAUCAUAUAAGAAUUAAAAAAGAAGAAGAAGAAGAGCUAUUACUGUGUGACAAAGAUCGUGAUCGCGACCAGUGCCAUUUUGUGCAAUCUUUGAACUCUCUUAAAUGGUAACCAACCAAUAAAAUUGACACUAUAACGUAGUCAUCAUAAACCAUGCUGAAACUACAAUUUAUUACUACCACUAAAGGACUAAUGAAAAUAAGUAAAGCUAACCACCAUUAAGCCCAGUACAAUUAGACCCCCAAUAUAUCCCAAGUAACAAGAAAUCUAUCAAAAUCAAAUUCACUCUUAUACGGCUAGAUUUUCUAGCUAUUUCGCAGCAACAAAUGAUUACACCUAGUUCAUAAUCAAAUACUCCAAAAAGCCUAAACAUAAAACGAAAGGCAGAUAACUGUAAAAUAGAACAGAGGCAUUUGCUUUAUUUAAAGAGCAAACCGCAUAGAAAGUGAAAUAACGAGGGGAAAGUAAAGCGAGAAGGACCUCUUGUUCAUGUCGGCAUCGGCU
rnacentral:misc_RNA from 1 species